UGAAGUCGGAAUCGCUAGUAAUCGUGGAUCAGAAUGCCACGGUGAAUACGUUCCCGGGCCUUGUACACACCGCCCGUCACACCAUGGGAGUGGGUUGCAAAAGAAGUAGGUAGCUUAACCUUCGGGAGGGCGCUUACCACUUUGUGAUUCAUGACUGGGGUGAAGUCGUAACAAGGUAACCGUAGGGGAACCUGCGGUUGGAUCACCUCCUUA
rnacentral:rRNA from 1 species